rnacentral:siRNA from 1 species
UAGAGGUCACCCAUCCUAGU